AAGUAGGAGAGAAGCAGCUAACUCCCUCAGGUCUCCUGAACACGCCGCUGCGGCCACAGCUCGGAGCUGUCGGGGACGUGAGGCUGCAGCUCUGCUGUGUCCGUGAACCUGUCACCAUGAACCCCAAUCCUGGAGAGGCUUCCAGAGCCUGAAGUCACUUUCUUUAUUCAUAAGCUGAGACCAGAUACACCUGAAGCCACCCUAGGAUCAAGGGCCUAAACCACCUAAGCAUCCAGCACACACCAGAGGCUCAAAAGAUGUUUGGAAGAAUGGAUGAAAAACCCUUUGACCCUUCAUUUGAACCUAAACACUGUAUGUAACUAAAGAUCAGUCACUUCUCGGGCAGGUGAGCCUCCUCCACCCUGUCCUAUUUCUUUCCCAAGCCAUGGAACAGAAAUAUUUUCCCCAAAUCACUACUGCCCUGGAGCUUCCUCCUCCCUAAUCCCAUCCAGAAAAAGAACAUUCUGUAUAUAGCAGUUGCCUGAGCAGAGGAGAGGGAAUCUUGAGAGUCGCUCAUCUGCUCUCUGCAACCCUGCGAAGCCUUCUGUCUCACUGGUUAAGAGCAUGGGCCCUGGAGAAAGAGCUCAAGAAAUAUCAGAUUAAAAAAACUUCUUUUUUUAGUGUUAAGUACAUACAUAAGUAAUUAUAUAUGUACUCAUAAGAGCUAUCUUGCCCUGAAUAACACCAAUCUGACAGGGAAACUAGUACUUCAAGUAAACAAAUGCAUUACUCAUAAUUACAGCUAUCAUCUGUGAGAGUCUGUGUGCCAGCCCUGUGACUGAGGCCCUCAUGUACAUAUUUCAUCCAUCCAGUCAUUUAUUCAUCCCACAAACACCUGAUUCACCCUUCCCUGCCCACCACCCACACCAGGCACCUGUGCUUGGCACCGGGGGAGAGAGCACUGAACAAAACAAAGACCUGCCCUGAUGGAGCACAUUCCAGAAGAGAAAAACAUUUGAGAAGGAAGAAGGUACACUAGACAAUGAAGACAUUCUAGUGGGGCAAGAAGGAUAAAAUAAAGCGGCAAAUAAAUAAUGUUAAGUGAUGGCGAAUGCAAAGAAGACAAAAUAAGCAGAAGAAGGAGGAGGGGAAUGAUGUUGAUGGAACUGAGGGGUGGCGGGGUGUGUCUGGGAUUAGAGGUGCUAUUUUACCCAGGAUGGUCCAUUAAACCUCACUCGGCUAAGGUGACAUUUCAGUAGAGACUUUAGGAAAUGAGCAAGCCAGCCAUGCAACAACCUGGGGAGAAAGGAUUCCAGGCGGAGGGAAGAGCAAGUGCAAAGGUCCUGAGGCUGGAACGUGCCUGGCAGGUUGAGGGGCAUCGGUUAGGCCAGUGUGUCAGGAAGGUAGUGAGUGAAGGAGGGAAUGAUGGGAGGUGAGGUGAGCAGGCAGCAGAGGGGCCAGAUUACAGGGCCUUCUAGACCAUUUUAAGGACUUCGGCUUUUUUAUAAUGAUAAGACAAUUAGCCAUUUGACAUACCACUGUCCUGUUUCUGUUUAUUCUGAAAGAAUUAGAAAAGCUAAUUUUUUUAACCAAGAAAAAAAAUAUCUCUGGCUUCAAUCCAAAGGCUACAUAAACCAGCAGCAUAAAGGCCUGAGAAAAGGAGAAUUGGGUAUAAAUGAGUUCCAUUUUCAUCAUUGUCUUUAAUUAUUCCAUUGAUAUUAAUGCCUUUGAAAAUAUACACAAUGGUAAUGAAUAUGCUGGUAUACUAGGAUGCUGAAAAAAAUUUUAAAGAAAUUUUAUUAUAAUUUUCCAUUAAUUAGAUCAUUAAAACUUACUGUGCUAUCAAUUUUCCAUUUAAGUGAUAAAGCAUUGAUUAUUUUUUUAAAAAAGGACUUUGGCUUUUAUUCUGGGUUUAACAGAAAGACAGCAGAGGUCUGGGCAAAGGGUUCACGGGAUCACAAAAGGAUCAUCAUGGUUGUUAUGUCAGAAAAGUCUGCAAAGGGGACACUAGGUAGCAGGCUUUUGUAUAAAUCUAUGUCCAAGGAUUUUGCCCCAAACAAGAAGAAGAAGGGUGACACAUUUGCAGGGAGAAGGAGGCUGGGGACAGGGUAGCACAUGGGAUUUUGGUUUGCGGAAUAUUAAAUUUGAAGAAUUCCACUGAUUAAAAACUCAAUAGACAUACAACUUGAAAAUCCCCACAGGCCACAACACUGUCUUUCUCCUUCCAGGAGACUCAGGGCUUCUCGUAGUGAGCUGUGACCAGGAUGGGUAUGAUUAGCGUGCAAUGCUCCAUCUCCUCCAAGCCCCAUGACCACCAUGAAGCCCGACCUUCUCCGGCAGGGCAAGCAGCCAGAUGUCAGUCUGAGUAACUCAGCCCUGGCCUCGGAGACCAUGGACAGCUUAGUCUUUGGCUUAAAAAUAAUCAGCCAAGAGCAGGGUUGGCAAACUCUCUCUGUAAAGGGCCAGACAGUAAAUAUCUGUGGUUUGUGAGCCACAUGGUCCCUGUGGCAACUAGCUGACUCUGCCCUAGAGAGUACAUAAGGAAUGAGUGUGGCUAUGUUUCCAUAAGCUUUAUAUACAAAAACGGGCAGCAGGCCAGAUUUUUGGCCUAUGGGCCGUAGUUUGCUGAUCACUGACCAAGAGCAUAAAAAAAAUGAAGAAAGGUACCUUUAUUGUUGUAUUUAUUCAAGUCCCCUAUAACACAGGCCCCCAUCCUAAAAAGGGAGAUUGUUUCUCCCAGUUAUGGCAGGCAGGCAAUGAUCUUAAAAUCAAGAAAGAGCUACGAGGCCCUGAGUAGGAAUUAGAUACUAAUUAUAACUUCAAGACACAAGAAAUACAAAAACAAUAACCAUACGCAAGUCUAUCAGUUUGGUUAGAAUCUUCGGUAUGGUUUAAAUUAUCUAUUUUCUUAUUACCACUGAAGGAAAUUAAAUUUUAAGUUUUGUAGGAAAAGGUAUAAAAUUGAAUUAUGCAGCUAUUCUUAUCCAAGAUUUUUUCCUCAACAACCCCAGCUGCUGGGGAUUGGCUAUGAUCCCAUCCAGCUAACUGCUCAAAGACACACUUUCUCAGCAGCAAGAUGCCAGUGAACCAGCACAUGCUCGAGCCACCUGACUUCCUGGGGAAGGCCUCCUCAAGAGCUUUCGUGAUGAUUAUUCUUCUGGGGACUAUAUGCAGGGGGAAGGGAGCACAGAGAGUCUACUGCACAAUCAGGAGGAAAAGGGGUCAGACUGGAAUUGUACCAACAACAAAAACUACUGGGUCCCUGGCCGUGCUCUGCUCAAGCAGCCUACAACCCAGCGGUGACCACUGGCCAUGCCUUCCACUUUUGCUCUAGAGAAGUCAGUGGUUACCGAAUUCAUAAUUCAUUCCUGUUGCACUUGGAUUAUAUUUGGAGACAGGUGAUUUGGAAAAUGAACUUAACAUUUCCUCAGCUCACUCCCGCAGCUACAAACUACCAAAUGUCCUUUAAGAAGCCCCCCGUGCUGGCAAGCUGGAAUGAGAGCCACUUGCCCCCAGCCUCUUGGGUACAUUUGCCGGGGACCAUUACACAAACCUCAAACCAAACCUGUCUCAGGAGAGGCACCCACAAA